AUUGAACGCUGGCGGCAGGCCUAACACAUGCAAGUCGGGCGGUAGCACAAAGGAGCUUGCUCCUUGGGUGACGAGCGGCGGACGGGUGAGUAAUGUCUGGGAAACUGCCUGAUGGAGGGGGAUAACUACUGGAAACGGUAGCUAAUACCGCAUAACGUCGCAAGACCAAAGAGGGGGACCUUCGGGCCUCUUGCCAUCGGAUGUGCCCAGAUGGGAUUAGCUAGUAGGUGGGGUAAAGGCUCACCUAGGCGACGAUCCCUAGCUGGUCUGUGAGGAUGACCAGCCACACUGGAACUGAGACACGGUCCAGACUCCUACGGGAGGCAGCAGUGGGGAAUAUUGCACAAUGGGCGCAAGCCUGAUGCAGCCAUGCCGCGUGUGUGAAGAAGGCCUUCGGGUUGUAAAGCACUUUCAGCGGGGAGGAAGGGAGCAAGCUUAAUACGUCUGUUCAUUGACGUUACCCGCAGAAGAAGCACCGGCUAACUCCGUGCCAGCCGCCGCAGUAAGAC
rnacentral:rRNA from 1 species